GUUGUAUAGUCAAGUAAUUAAGUGCAUGUGGUGGAUGCCUUGGCAGUCAGAGGCGAUGAAAGACGUGAUAGCCUGCGAAAAGCUCCGGGGAGGCGGCAAAUAUCCUUUGAUCCGGAGAUGUCUGAAUGGGGGAACCCACCUACUUUAAGGUAGGUAUUGCAACAUGAAUACAUAGUGUUGCAAGGCGAACGAGGGGAAGUGAAACAUCUCAGUACCCUUAGGAAAAGAAAUCAAUUGAGAUUCCCUCAGUAGCGGCGAGCGAACGGGGAUCAGCCCAUUAAGUUAUGUGUGUUUUAGUGGAACGCUCUGGGAAGUGCGAACGUAGAGGGUGAUAUUCCCGUACACGAAAGGGCACACAUAAUGAUGACGAGUAGGGCGAGGCACGUGAAACCUUGUCUGAAUAUGGGGGGACCAUCCUCCAAGGCUAAAUACUCCUGACUGACCGAUAGUGAACCAGUACCGUGAGGGAAAGGCGAAAAGAACCCCUGUGAGGGGAGUGAAAUAGAUCCUGAAACCGCAUGCAUACAAGCAGUGGGAGCACCUUCGUGGUGUGACUGCGUACCUUUUGUAUAAUGGGUCAGCGACUUAUAUUCAGUAGCGAGGUUAACCGUAUAGGGGAGCCGUAGAGAAAUCGAGUCUUAAUAGGGCGUUUAGUUGCUGGGUAUAGACCCGAAACCAGGCGAUCUAUCCAUGAGCAGGUUGAAGGUUGGGUAACACUAACUGGAGGACCGAACCCACUGUCGUUGAAAAGCCAGGGGAUGACUUGUGGAUAGGGGUGAAAGGCUAAUCAAGCCUGGUGAUAGCUGGUUCUCCCCGAAAGCUAUUUAGGUAGCGCCUCGGACGAAUACCAUAGGGGGUAGAGCACUGUUUCGGCUAGGGGGUCAUCCCGACUUACCAAACCGAUGCAAACUCCGAAUACCUAUGAGUACUAUCCGGGAGACAGACUGCGGGUGCUAACGUCCGUAGUCAAGAGGAAAACAAUCCAGACCGCCAGCUAAGGCCCCAAAAUCAUAGUUAAGUGGGAAACGAUGUGGGAAGGCAUAGACAGCUAGGAGGUUGGCUUAGAAGCAGCCACCCUUUAAAGAAAGCGUAAUAGCUCACUAGUCGAGUCGGCCUGCGCGGAAGAUGUAACGGGGCUAAAACUAUGUGCCGAAGCUGCGGAUGUAUACUUUGUAUACGUGGUAGGGGAGCGUUCUGUAAGCCGAUGAAGGUGUGUUGAGAAGCAUGCUGGAGGUAUCAGAAGUGCGAAUGCUGACGUGAGUAACGACAAAACGGGUGAAAAACCCGUUCGCCGAAAGACCAAGGGUUCCAGUCCAACGUUAAUCGGGGCUGGGUGAGUCGACCCCUAAGGCGAGGCCGAAAGGCGUAGUCGAUGGGAAAAUGGUUAAUAUUCCAUUACUUCUGUGUAAUGCGAUGAGAGGACG
rnacentral:rRNA from 1 species